CCCUCAGACUUCUCUUUUCCCAGGUGGGCCAGUUCUUGGCCUCGCGGGCUUACGUCAUGGGAGGAAUGCGGUGACGCGACGCUGCUCUUGUGACGUCGACGACGAAGGCCGGGCUCCCGGUUCGAUGAUGUCAUCGGGUCCUUUUUCCUCCCCCUGCUGCCCUGCGAUGAAGUUCUCAAGCCACAGCAGGGACAAUGCCAAAUCCUUGACCUUCUGAGCCAUGAGGGAACUUCCACAAGAGCUUUGAAAAGGUGAGAUCUCCAGCAUUUGUUGUUAUGUGGAGUGGGGGGGUGGGUGGAGGGAGGAAGGUGCAGAAGAACAUAUGAAACAUGCUACCUUGAACUGAAGUUCUGACACAUGCUACCACAGGGAUGAACCUUGAAACAUUAUGCCAAAUGCAAGAAGCUGGACCUAAAAGGCACAUUCAUAGAGACAAAAAGUAGAAUGAUGGUUACCAGGAACUGGAGGGUGGAGUGGAGGAAUGGAGAAUUAUUGUUUAAUUAGGUAGAGUUUCAGUUUGGAGAGAUGAAAAAUUUCUGGAGAUGGCUAGUGGUGAUGGUUGCAUGACAAUAUGGAUGUCUUAAUGCCACUGAACUGUGCACUUAAAAAUGGUUAGGAUGUGGAGUUCCUUGUUGCCACAGUAGGAUAAGGAUCCAGCAUUGGCACGGUUGUGGCUUGAGUUCAGUCUCUGACCCAGGAACUUCCACAUGCCAUGGGCUUGCCCCCUCCCCUCAAAAAAAGGCUAAAAUGUUAUAUUUUAUCACAAUUAAAAAACAGCUUUUUUUUUUUUUCCCCUGCACCCACAGUACAUGGAAGUUCCUGGGCCAGGGAAUGAACCCACACCUCAGCAAUGACGCAAGCUGCUGGAGAGACAAUGGCAGAUCCUUAACCAUAAUGGCCACACAGCAGGAACUCUAAAAAACAACUUUGUAUUGCUACCUUUAAUGUAAAAGCAGAUGAGGGGGGAGGGAUAAGGACUUGUAUUCUUAUUUGUUUGUGUAUGGGCACAGAAAUUCUGGAAAGAUACUCAGGAAAUCAGGAGCAGUGGGUUUCCUGUGGGGAAAAGGAGGGGAACUAAGACUUGGGAAAUACUGCAGUGUAAACUUUAUGCUUUUUGUUUGUGCAGCACAUGAAUGCAUCCACUAUUCAAAAAUAAAAUUAGUUAAGAAAUAUGGAGAAUGGCUUUAUUUAGGAUUAGUAAGAUUUGAGUU
rnacentral:lncRNA from 1 species